AACGAACGCUGGCGGCAUGCCUAACACAUGCAAGUCGAACGAGACCUUCGGGUCUAGUGGCGCACGGGUGCGUAACGCGUGGGAACCUGCCCUUAGGUUCGGAAUAACUCCCCGAAAGGGGUGCUAAUACCGGAUAAUGUCUUCGGACCAAAGAUUUAUCGACUUUGGAUGGGCCCGCGUUGGAUUAGCUAGUUGGUAGGGUAAAAGCCUACCAAGGCGACGAUCCAUAGCUGGUCUGAGAGGAUGAUCAGCCACACUGGGACUGAGACACGGCCCAGACUCCUACGGGAGGCAGCAGUGGGGAAUAUUGGACAAUGGGCGAAAGCCUGAUCCAGCAAUGCCGCGUGAGCGAUGAAGGCCUUAGGGUUGUAAAGCUCUUUUACCCGGGAUGAUAAUGACAGUACCGGGAGAAUAAGCUCCGGCUAACUCCGUG
rnacentral:rRNA from 1 species